CUUCAGCUUCAGCUAUGUUUGUCUCCAAUUCCAGUGAAAGUGAGGAUUACAGAAGGAAAACAAAAAGUCGUUCUAUGCUGCUUACACUCCUGUCAUCAUGUGGACUUCUGCUGGUUCUGGGGGUGGUUGUCAUAGUAACCAGGAAGUUGUGUCAAAAACGUAAGAAUAACAAAUCAGCGAGAAGAGAAACAACCAAUAGAAUACAUAUAGACC